CUUUCGUUGAACUGUGAAGUGUUAGUGGCAUGGUUCCUAGUGAGUGUGUGAGGAUAUUCGGAAUAGUUUGUGCGUAUUCGUAGAUCAAUCUCUGCAAUCAUUUCUCUCUUCAACUCAUUUAGUAGACACUUUGGAUGGAAAGCCUGUUUGCACGAAGAGAUGUUCAAGUUACCGCCACAUAUGAUAACUGCUUCCUCGGUGUCCAGUGAGCAAAUCCGGCAGUGAGUCAUGGUGAAUUGACGAGCAAUAGCACGACGCAGAGCACGACAAAAACAGGAAAUUAUACCCGAAACAGACCGAUUUUAAUGCCACUAAUCAAGUGUUACAGCACACCACUGCAGCCAACUCUUUACUUUCAGAAUCCUCAAACUAGUGAAUACUACAAGCGCGAUCACAACAACGCAAAUAUUAUCUGAUUUGUACGGAGCAAACUCAAGCACGACCGUUCACCGCAAACGUCAAACGCAG